CUCGUUGUAGUUGCUGCAAGUUUAAACGCGUCCCGUUUUUAUGAAUAUUUUACUUAUUAAAUAUUUUUGCAAGGUCCUGGGUCAGGUACAGACUUGUCUGUGACAUGACAGCACUCAUUUUGUGCAGGAGUUUGGAUUAAGCUCCAGAUGUGAGACAUUUAUCAUGAACGGUUAAAUCCCAAGUGGACGGCGGUCAUUAAACUCUGCGAUGGAAGUACGGGUGGUAAUUACUGUCAUCUUUAUAGCGAUUAACCCAUCUCUUACUGAGGACGUGAAGGGGUACCUGGCAGGCACUGAAGGGGGAUCCAUUACUUUACCUGACCCUGUGAUGGUGCAGGGGUUUGUUUCAUUUGGAAGAAUAAUCUUAGAUAUGGUGGAAAAUAAGAAUAUUGAAGUAUAUGAGGAACUUUACAAAGACAGACUUCUUUGGGACAGCGACACUGGACUCUUUACAAUCACUGGCCUGCAGAGGAACGACUCAGGGAUUUAUAAUAUUGACUCUAAAAAAGGAAACGUUUUCACUGCAUCAUAUAAACUCACAGUGUAUGAGCCUGUACCAACUCCUGCUGUGAGCACACUGAGUGUGAGCGCUGAUGGCUGCACCUUGCUGUGUUUUGUGAAGAAAGCUGAGGAGGCGACACUGUCGUGGUACAAAGACGAAGAAAUACUGAACCAGACCGGCUCCGUUCUCUCUUUACCUCUGACUGUGCACAGCCAGGAUUUCAGCUUCUCUUACAGAUGUGUAGCAGCCAAUCCUGCUGAAAACAAGACUCGUCCAGUUGACGUUAUAACACUCUGCAGUGACCAAAACAACACAGACAGCAGGGGCAACAUGAACACAAGACAUUAUGUGAUUGGAAUUGGAAUUCCCAUUGUGUUUGCUGUAAUUAUGUUUGUCAUCACGUGGAAGUGUCUCGACAAAAACAAGAGGACAAUCAGACAAACACAAGGCAGAUUCAGUGAGCAGCGAACCAGACCUAUACUAUGCUGACAUUGAUAUUUCUGAAGACAGAAGCAGUCAGGUUGGUCUGCAAACACACCCACAGAGGGGAACUUUACCAGAUUCAUCAGAAAGUGCCGACAGCUCCAAUCUAUCAACAGUCUAUUAUAAACUGGAGGCUCAUCCAAUGGUGCCGAUUCAUACAGACACUCUUUAUAAUGUCUGAGACCAAACGAUGGACUGCUCACAUCAUCAUCAAAUAUGGCAGCUUAGUCAGAUGUCCUAUGUUUCAAACUAGGAGCUGUCAAGAACAGUUAAGUUCUGAACUAAAGGAAUUGAUUUGGUGGUGUGUUGUCUGUUAGUGGGUCAUUUCCUGUGCAAAUGGCUGAAAUGAGUGAGACUGUACAGAGAAUAUGAUGACUUGAGGGCUCAUUCCCCCCCCCGACUACUAUCUGGGACCCCUCCAGUGUCACUUUUGGACGUGUCAUUCUCUGUGUCAAUUUACGCUCAUUACGUCUUACAGUGUCAUCAAAAUAAACUUUUGUCUUCACAGGAAAUGUGGUUAGGUUUAGAGAAAUGAUCUGACGACUGUGUCACCUGACAACUAUAUCACGUGACAUACACCAGUAACUACAUUAUGUGGUUAAAAAAAAACUGAAGUUGACUUUGUCUCACACGGGACACAAACAGCAGUCUCCUGGGUGAAAGUCCAGUGUGUGUUUGACCCCACCACAACUCCUUCUUUCCACUGUAUUCUGUAACGGGUAGUAUUAGGACCUAAUUGCAACACAACAGAGACCAGGAACAGUCUGUUAUGGCGUUUACUUUUACAACUCAGCAGAUACAGGUCUGGACCAGUAAACAGCACACAAUACAGUUCAGCACUCCAGCAAAGUCUCUCCACAAGGGCCUUGGCAGCCUGGCUGGUUUGGCAGGCUGAACCGGGCCGAGAGGCAGGUGAGUGAGUGGUGGCAUUAGCAACGGUACCGUGAAGGAGCAGGCAGGGGAUGUAGUCAUGGAGGUAGAAGGUGCAGAACCAGGUAAAUGCACAGUCCAGGUAGGCAAACCAGUAGGAGACAGGCAGAAGAUAGGUCAAGGCCAGGCAGAGAGCAGAGAAGCUAGCAGGUAAGUACUCACAGGACUCACAAAUACAAUGGGAAGUGUGGCGACCGCAGGAAACCAGAGUUAAGCAGACUGGAACCCUCACACUAUAGCGUCGUCAUCAGAUGGUAACAUCAAGCAGCCACAGGCAAACAGGAACCCAGGAUGUGGAAGCAGAUGUCAUGGUCAGGGACAGAAGUGUGGUGCGUUCACCAGGAAUAAGAUGAAGCAAGCAGGUCAGAGACAGGCGGGGUCUGCUAUGGGAAAUCAGUCUGGAAGAAAAUGCUGGAGAGUCUUGCAUGAGUGGCGAAGAACAAUCUGGCAGUGAGUGUCUGUGAGGCACGGGUAUAUAUUGUGGCUGUGAGUAAUGAGGAACAGGUGAACUGAGUUGCCUUGACGAAGUGGUUGUGAUUAAAGCUGAGGCUCUGGAAACCGAGGAGAGCAGGUGACCAGAAAUUCAGAAUUCUGACUUUCUGGCUCUUUCUGCAACGUAAUUGCGGCAGACGGGAUUACAUAAGAGUUAGUUGAAAGUUAGAUAUUCACCACCCUGGGAAUGAGAACAGAUUGCUCACAUACAUGGACAACAGAGCGAUUCCAGAGACAGUGGACCUUUUGGUUUUGAUUUACUCAUAUUUGCACUGUUUGUAGACAAUCUGAAGGACAGAUGUGAUGAAUGCAUUUCAUUUUCUAUUUAUUUUAUAUUAUUGUUCUUGUAAAAUAUUUAUUUUUACUGAAUCUUUGUCUCACAUUAUUAAGGUUUGCAUUUUUUUCUAAUAGCCAGCAGGGGAUGACUCCACUGGCUGCAAAAAAAAAAAAAAAAGCUUGACUGAACACGUUUAUGUGAAAAUGACUCUUCAUGAAUUUUCAUUUUAUUAUCUCAGUAAACAUUUUCCUACUGA